GCACGUAGGUGGUUAGAAAGUUGGUGGUGAAAUCCCAGAGCUUAACUCUGGAACUGCCAUCAAAACUUUUUGACUAGAGUAUGAUAGAGGUAAGCGGUAAUUCUAGUGUAGAGGUGAAAUUCGUAGAUAUUAGAAAGAACACCAAUUGCGAAGGCAGCUUUCUGGAUCAUUACUGACACUGAGGUGCGAAAGCAUGGGUAGCGAAGAGGAUUAGAUACCCUCGUAGUCCAUGCUGUAAACGAUGUGUGCUAGAUGUUGGGAAUUUUAUUCUCAGUGUCGCAGCAAAAGCGUUAAGCACACCGCCUGGGGAGUACGACCGCAAGGUUAAAACUCAAAUGAAUUGACGGGGACCCGCACAAGCAGUGGAGCAUGUGGUUUAAUUCGAAGAUACGCGCAGAACCUUACCAACACUUGACAUGUUCGUCGCGACUCGUAGAGAUAUGAGUCUUCAUUCAGUUGGACGAAACACAGGUGCUGCAUGGCU
rnacentral:rRNA from 1 species